UACGGGAGGCAGCAGUGGGGAAUAUUGCACAAUGGGCGAAAGCCUGAUGCAGCUAUGCCGCGUGUAUGAAGAAGGCCUUAGGGUUGUAAAGUACUUUCAUCGGGGAGGAAAAAACAAAACUAAUAAUUUUAUUCUUGACGUUACCCGAAAAAGAAGCACCGGCUAACUCCGUGCCAGCAGCCGCGGUAAUACGGAGGGUGCUAGCGUUAAUCAGAAUUACUGGGCGUAAAGAGCACGUAGGUGGUUUUUUUAAAGUCAGAUGUGAAAUCCCUGGGCUUAACCUAGGAACUGCAUUUUGAAACUGAAAUACUAGAGUAUCGUAGAGGGAGGUAGAAUUCUAGGUGUAGCGGUGAAAUGCGUAGAUACCUGGAGGAAUACCUGUGGCGAAAGCGGCCUCCUAAACGAAUACUGACACUGAGGGUGCGAAAGCGUGGGGAGCAAACAGGGAUUAGAUACC
rnacentral:rRNA from 1 species